rnacentral:rRNA from 1 species
GGACGGGUGAGUAACGCGUGAGCAAUCUGCCUUUGUGAGCGGAAUAACGACUGGAAACGGUCGCUAAUACCGCAUAACACAUAGAGACCGCAUGGUCAUUAUGUUAAAGAUUUAUCGCACAAAGAUGAGCUCGCGUCUGAUUAGAUAGUUGGUAGGGUAACGGCCUACCAAGUCUGCGAUCAGUAGCCGGACUGAGAGGUCGAACGGCCACAUUGGAACUGAGAAACGGUCCAGACUCCUACGGGAGGCAGCAGUGGGGAAUAUUGGGCAAUGGACGAAAGUCUGACCCAGCGACGCCGCGUGAAGGAAGACGGUCUUCGGAUUGUAAACUUCAGUCAACAGGGAAGAAGAAAGUGACGGUACCUGUGGAGGAAGCCACGGCUAACUACGUGCCAGCAGCCGCGGUAAUACGUAGGUGGCAAGCGUUAUCCGGAUUUACUGGGUGUAAAG